CUAGGACUUUAUGGAUGGCAGAACUUUAGAGCAAUGAAUACAUGGCUAUGUUCAUCAAAGCCAUGAAGACACAGUGGCCUGAAAUCUUGGGGACCCAAUUCCCACACCAGUGUGUCCAAGAGGUGUUAUAGAGAUGAAAAUGCAUAUGGAAUUAUCAUGCAAAUUACCAAUAAAGAGAAUCACUGGUCAGAAUCCCUAUAUUUUGGAGAAGAAAAAUUUUGAAAACCAGUCAGAAUUCAAUCAACUGCAGUUGGGAGAAAGACAGCGAGUAGCUUGAGAGAGAUGAGAAACUAUCAAAAAGAAGUUCCUGACAUGGCAACAGUGUAUCAUCCAAUGAAUCAAUCGCCUCACCCAACACUGUAACACUUCCUGGCCUAUUGACUCAGAGCAUGAGGAAACCAAAGUGACCAGGGGAAGGCCUCAGGAAACUUACAAUCAUGGUGAAGGAGAAGCAGGCACAUCACAUGGCUGGAGCAACAAGCAAGAAGCAGGGGAAGUGCCGCACACUGUUAAACAAGCAGACCUCUCAAGAACUCAUUCACUAUCACAAAAACAGCACCAAGAGGAUGGUGCUAAAUGAUUCAUGAGAAAUCCCCCUCCGUGAUCCAGUCACCUCCCACCAGGCCUCACCUCCAUGAGAUUUGGUGCAAACACAGAUCGAAACCAUAUCAACAACUUUUAAUUUAGGUUCAUGGAGUACAUGUGUAGGUUUGUUACAUGGGUAAAUUGCCUGUCACAGGGGUUUGGUGUACAGAUAAUUUUGUCAUCCAGGCAGUCAACAUAAUACCCAGUAGAUAGUUUUUCAAUCCUCACCUUCCUCUUGCCCUACACCCUCAAGUAGGCCCCAGUGUGUAUUAUUCCCUUCUUUGUGUCUGUUGUACUCAAUGUUUAAUUUCACUUGUAAGUGAGAGCAUGUAGUGCUUGAUUUUCUGUUCCUGUAUUAGUUAGCUAAGGAUAAUGUCCUCCAGCUGCAUCCAUGUUGCUGCAAAGAAUAUGAUCUUGUUCUUUUUUAUGGUUGUAUAGUAGUCUAUGGACGUGUGGCUGAACUAAUUUAUCUUUUCACCAACAGUGUAUAAGUGUUCCGUUUUCUCCACAACCUUGCCACCACCUUUUCUUUUUUUUUUUUUUUUUUUUGACUUUUUAAUAGUACCCAUUCUGACUAGAGUGAGAUGAUAUCUCAUUGUGGUUUUGACUUGCAUUUCCCUAAUGAUUAGUGAUAUUGAGCAAUUUUUCAUAUACUUGUUGGCUGUGUGUAUGUAUUCUUUUGAGAAGUGUCUGUUUAUAUCCUUUGCCCAUUUUUAAAUGGGGUUGUUUGAUUUGUUUAAGUUCCUCAUAGAUUCUGGAUAUUAGGCCUUUGUUAGAUGCGUCGUUUGCAAAUAUUUUCUCCUAUUCUGUAGAUUAUCUGGUUACACCGUUGAUUAUUUCUUUCCCUAUGCAGAAACUCUUUCAAUUAGGUCCAAAUUGUCAAAUUUGUUUUUUUGCAAUUGCUUUUGGAGUCUUCCUCAGGAAGUCUUUGCCAGGGCCAAUGUCCAGAAUGGUGUAUCCUAGGUUUUCUUCUAGAAUUUUUUUAGUUUUAGGUUGUACAUUUAAGUCUUCAAUUCAUUUUUAGUUGAUUUUUGUAUAUGGUGAAAGGUACAGAUCCAGUUCUAUUCUUCUGCAUAUGGCUGGCCAGUUAGCCUAGCACCAUUUAUUGAAUAGGGAGUCACUUCCGCAUUGCUUUUCUUUGUUGGUUUUGUCAAAAAUCAGAUGGUUGUGGGGGUACAACUUUAUUUCUGGGUUAACUAAUGCAUUCCAUUGGUCUAUAUCUCUGUUUUUGUAUCAAUAUCAUGUUGUUUUAGUUACUGUAGCCAUGUAGCAUAGUUUGAAGUUGAGUAAUGUGAUAUCUCCAGCUUUGUUCUUUUGGCAUAGGGUUGUCUUGGCUAUUUGAGCUCUUUUUUUGGUUUUAAAUAAAUGUUAGAAUAAUUUUUUCCUAAUUCUAUGAAAAAUGUCAUUGGUAAUUUGAUAGGAAUAGCAUUCAAUCUAUGACAUGCUUUGGAAGUAUGGCCAUUUUAACAAUAUUGAUUCUUCCUAUCCGUGAUCAUGGAAUGUGUUUCCAUUUGUUUGUGUUUUUCCAAUUUCUUUCAGCAGUAUUUUGUAAUUCUCAUUACAGAGAUCUUUCACCUCCCUGGUUAGUUUUAUUCCUAGGUAUUUUAUUCUUUUUGUGGCUAUUAUGAAUGAGAUUGCAUUCUUGAUUUGGCUCUCAGCUUGAACAUUGUUGAUGUUUAGAAAUGCUACUGAUUUUUAUACAUUGAUUUUGUAUCCUGAAACUUUGCUGAAGUCGUUUAUCAGAUCUAGAAGUUUUUAGGCAGAGACUAUGGGGCUUUUUAGAUAUGGAAUCAUGUUAUAUGUAAACAGAGAUAGUUUGAUUUAUUUCUUCCAAUUUGGAUACAUUUUAUGUCUUUCUCUUGCCCAAUUACUCGGGCUAGGAUUUCCAGUACUAAGUUGAAUAGGAGUGGUGAGAGUGAGCCUCCUUGUCUUGUUCCGUUUCCCAAGGGGAAUUGAUAUGGUUUGGCUCUGUGUUCUCACCUAAGUCCCAUCAUGAAUUGUAAUCCCCAUAAUCUCUAUGUGUCAAGGGCAGGACCAGGUGGAGGUAAUUGGAUCAUGGGGGCAGUUUCCCCCAUGCUGUUCUCAUGAUAGUGAAUGAGUUCUCAUAAGGUCUGAUGGUUUUAUAAGCAUCUGGCAUUUCCCCUGCUUGCCCUCACUCCAUCCUGCUGCCCUAUAAAGAAAGUGCCUGCUUCUCCUUUGUCUUCUGCUAUGAUUGUAAGUUCCCUGAGGCCUCCCAAGCCAUGUAGAAUUGUGAGUCAAUUAAACCUCUUUCCUUUAUAAAUUACCCAGUCUUGGAUAUUUCUUCAUAGCAGUGUGAGAAAGGACUAACACAGGAAUGCUUUCAGCUUUUGCCAAUUCAGUAUGAUGUUGGCUGUGGGUUUAUCAUAGAUGGCUCUUAUUAUUUUGAGGUAUGAACUUUUGAUGCCUAGUUUGUUGAGUAUUUUAAACAUGGGAUAUUGAAUUUUGUUGAAAGUCUUUCCUGUUUCUAUUGAGAUGAUCAUGUGGUUUUUGUUUUUAAUUCUGUUUAUAAGGUAAAUCACAUUUGUUGAUUUGCAUAUGUUGAACCAAUCUUGCAUCCCAGGAAUAAAGCCUGCUUGAUCAUGAUGCAUGAGCUUUUUGAUGUGCUGCAGGAUUCAGUUUGCUAGUCAAGAAUUUUUGCAUCUGUGUUUUUCAGGGAUAUUGGCCUGAAAUUAUGUUGUUGUUGUUGUGCUCUGCCAGGUUUUGAUAUUAGAAUGAUGCCAGCUUCAUAGAAUGUGUUAGGAAAAAGUCCCUCCUCAAUUUUUUAGAAUAAUUUUAGUAGGAUUGGUACCACCUCUUCUUUAUAUGUCUGGUAGAAUUUGUCUAUUUGUCUGUGAAUCUGUCUGGUCCAGGGCUUUUUCUAUUUGGUAGGUUUUUUGUUUGUUUGUUUGUUCCUAAUUCCAUUUUGGAGCUCAUUAUUUGUCUGUUCAGGGUCUCAAUUUCUUCCUGGUUGAAUCUUGAGAGGUUAUGUGUUUCCAAGAAUUUAUCCAUUUCUUCUAGGUUUUCCAGUUUGUAUGCUUAGACAUGUUCAUAAUGGUCUCUGAGGUUUUGGUGUCUCUGUGGGGUCAGUGGUAAUGUUACCUUUGUAAUUUCCUAUUGUGUUUAUUUUUAUCUUUUCUCUUUUUUCCUUUAUUCAUUUAGCUAGUGGUCUAUCAAUCUGAUUUAUCUUUUCGAAUAAGCAACUUUUGGUUUUGUUGAUCUUUUGUAUGGUUUUGUUUAUCUUUUGUAUGGUUU
rnacentral:lncRNA from 10 species